ACAUAUUCCAUGUUCAACGCGUUUAUCAACAUUUCAUAUCUCCCGUACUUUUCAAACCGUAAAACCCUCUAAUUAUUUCAAACGGCGCAUUAUAGGAAACGCGGUUGCAUAAAACUUAAAACAGUGAGUCACGCGAAUACAAACUUGCAGAAAUCCAGAGUUUAGAAGAAACAAAGAAAAGAUCUGUUGCGAAUAAACCGAACUACGAUGCAUGUCAGCUGGAAAUGCCCGACCCCCAGAGGAACGAAAGAAGCAGAAUAAAUUAUUAUACGAAACGAGUAAGAAGUAUGGAUAAACUUACCAGGCACUGCAACGAACAUCUUCACCGCAUCUCUAUGUCCAUGAAAACUAAGUUGAGCAUGAGCCAUGCUGCAGUAAGGUAUAAAACUUCCACGUGUAACACUACGGUCUGAUGCAAAAAUUCGGACACCGACUCCUGGCGCUUCAGUUUUUCCACUUGCUGCUUGAACUCUGGACACUGCCAUUGAACCUCCAGCACCUACGACAUAUACAUCUUUCAUUCAUAGACAGAUAUUUAUUAUUGUACAGCUCUAAAUUAACUUACCUUCGGCCAAGGGAACUGAAAUUAUUACUCCGUUUCCUGUACCAAUCCACAAUCUAUUCGAUGAAAUGAGUAAGGCGGUAAUUCUUACAAAAGAAAAGCCAAGUUUUCCAGUUCCGAGCAUUUUGCUAACGUAAGGCUCUAUAUCGACGUCUUGAAGAUGUUGGUACGUAUGGGCAUGGUAGAGUCUAAGCGUUGAGUCUAAUCUAAUACUGACCCAUACUCCUUCGCCUAACCAAGCUAAUUGUCUCACUUGUGAUUCUCGACGGGGAUGAGCAUCUACGGUACACUGGAAGUUUAUUUUACAUAUAAUUUAUAGUAUAUUAAAUCAGCUAAUUAACAAAAUUAUAUACAAAUCUAUGUACCUCGACCGUCAUUAAAACUGGAUCUAUUA